UACGUAGGGGGCUAGCGUUGUCCGGAAUCAUUGGGCGUAAAGCGCGUGUAGGCGGCCCGGUAAGUCCGCUGUGAAAGUCGGGGGCUCAACCCUCGGAUGCCGGUGGAUACUGUCGGGCUAGAGUGCGGGAGAGGCGAGUGGAAUUCCUGGUGUAGCGGUGAAAUGCGUAGAGAUCAGGAAGAACACCAGUGGCGAAGGCGGCUCACUGGCCCGGUAUUGACGCUGAGGUGCGAAAGCGUGGGGAGCAAACAGG
rnacentral:rRNA from 1 species